rnacentral:lncRNA from 1 species
UGGGCUGCAAUGAGGCAGCUAUUCCUCUGAAUAUAGUUCACUAUAUAUAGCUGAUUACAUAGCUAUCUAAGGCAAUAAGCCAAUCACUAAACUAGGCAACAAUAUAAAAGGCAAGAGCCUAUAAGGCAUGCUCGUGAUUGGGGGUUGCCAUCCCAACUCCCUGGGCCAUGCCGUUAGCACUAGCAGUAGAAUAGGAAGGUACAAAACAGGAAAGUACAGCUCACAGAUUACUAUUAACAAUCUCCUCCUAAGCCGUGAGUACCUACUCUAUCUUCUUGCUUUUGUUAGGAUGUCACCUAGCUGCAAGUCUGUUUCGACGAACUCAACAUGAAUCAGCUUCCUGUCACAGCAUUCCCGGAUGAAAUGGAACUUCACAUCAAUAUGCUUGCUCCGGUCAUGGUGUACAGGAUUUUUCAUCAAAGCGAUGGCAGACUUGUUGUCUACCAGCAGUCUUGGUGCAAGGACAGCUCCUCCGAUGAGCUCAGCUAGCAAUCGUGCCAGCCAAACUGCCUCGCACGCAGCAGCAGCAGCAGCAAUGUACUCUGCUUCGCAUGAGGACAGAGCAACAACUUUCUGCUUCGCCGAUUGCCAAGCAACCGGUCCCCCUGCAAGGAAGAAGAUGAGCCCACUAGUGCUCUUUCUGUCAUUCACAUCGCCAGCCAAGUCGCUGUCUGAGUAUCCCAGCAACUCCGGCGCACCACAGUUCUUCUUCCCGGGGUAGUAGUGUAGUCCCUAGUCAUGGGCGGCGCCAGGGGUAUGCCCCUGUAUUCCAUGGAAUACCCAUGAUUUUUGUGAUAAAUACAAAUAUAUAUAUAUAUACACACAUGUAGAAUCAGUAUAUAUGUUAGUUUGUUGAAUGAUGUAAAUAUGUAGCCCAUAAGAGCAUCUCCAAGAGAUUAGCCAAAUCAUUUUCUAAAGGUAAAUUUGGCUAUUGUUGAAGGAAAAACGUUUGACUCUAUUAAUAACUCUUCAAAUUUAGCAGCUCUUCAUCCCGCCUUAUUCGCUCUCUACUUUUGGAUAGCCUACCUCACUAGUCAUUCUUUUAUAGAGUCUGUUGGAGUACUCUAAUAUCUUUUUGUCAAAUCUAUUUUAGAGAGUAGCUAAAUCAGUAAAUUUGGCUAAUCUUUUUGGCUAUUCUCUUGGAGAUGCUCUAAGAGCAACUCCAAUAGUCUGGCUAAAAUUAAUUGUCAAAUUCUAUUGUUUGGCUAUUUUGUCGAAUAGAAAAUUUCUAAAAAAAAUAAGAGAUCUACAAUAAUCUUGUUAUUUUACAAAGUCUUAUAGUUAGCGUCUGUAAUAAGCUAUAUAUAGCCACUGAAAAUCAAGAGAAAGCUAACUUCCUAAUUUACAAAAUUAAAUAUCAUAUUAGUUGGAGUCUACUUUUUGCUACAAAUUCUAAAAUAGCAUAAACAACAAGAAUAGUUAAACUCUUGAAGUUGCUCUAAGCCUAGUAGAACAACUAGUAGCGGCAACCCAUGAACUCAUCAGAAACAAACCCCAUCGACGGCAUUCCUCUAGCGGCGGCGGUCAGUGGUCUUUGUAGGCUUUCUCAUAUACGGCUCCCCCUCAACGCCUUUCUCAUAUACGGCUUGAAGCAAUAACAAGGUAAACAUAAAGAUCCCACAUCUAUUUUUUAUUCUUCAAAGUAAGAAUUGAAGGUUUCGUUUUCUUCUUUUUUUUGUUGCGUUCUGAUUUUUUUUUAAAAAAAUAUUGCAUUAUGUUCCUGUAACAUAGAUAAAGAAUUUAUAUACACUUUGAUUAUUAACAGGGGCGACACUAGGCUCACUUUGCCUGAUGCCUUGUUACCAGGAUAAAUAAAUAUUUUACGUAGCAUAUAUUUUAAGGAAAUUAUAUGUACUACUUGAGCUGUGCACCAGAAUUAAUUUUGUAUUAAUUUUAUCCUCUAUUAUUAUUGCACAUAUGCAUUGAAAAAUUUUUAUACGUGGAAUACCCAGCUGUGAAAUCCUGGCUCCGCCACUGUCCCUAGUGCAGUGUGCCUGCCACGUACCGGAGCACACGUUUCACAGCAGUGAGGUGCUCUUGCCGUGGCGCCUCCAUGAAUCUGCUCAAGUACCCCACAGGAUAAGCCAGGUCUGGCCGGGAAUUGCACAGGUACCUAAGGCUCCCAAUUAGGCUCCGGUACUCCGUUGCAUCAACAGCCAGCGAAGUUCCUUCCUUGAGCAGCUUCAGCCUUGGCUCCAUGGGGGUUGCACUUGCAUUGCAACCACUCAAGCCCGCCUUCUCGAGUAUCUUUGAGGCGUACGCCGUCUGCCGGAGUGAGAUACCAGCUGCUCCCUGUGUCACCUCGAGUCCAAGGUAGUAGGAGAGCAGGCCAAGAUCACUCAUCUUAAAUGUGCUCAGCAUCUGCUGCUUGAACUUUGUCACGGCGUUGGUGUUUCCUCCAGUUAUGAUGAGGUCGUCGACGUAUACACCGACAAUCAGGCGGCCAGUGCCUUGACCGCGGGUGUACAUUCCAUGCUCGUCGACGCAGCGCUUGAACCCAAGCCGCAGCAGCUCGGUGUCCAGCUUCUGGUUCCAGGCGCGCGGAGCCUGUCGCAGUCCAUAGAGUGCUUUGUGGAGGCGGAGCACUCUAUGCUUGUGGUCGCUGUCGAUGAAGCCUGGAGGUUGCUGAACGUAUACCUCCUCCUAGAGUUCGCCGUUCAAGAACGCCGAUUUGACGUCCAUGUGAUGGACGCCCCAGCCGAAGUGUGCUGCGAUCGCGAGGACCAGCCGCACUGACUCCAGCCGUGCGACCGGGGCAUAGACCUCCUCGAAGUCGACUCCGGGCUGCUGCACAUAGCCUUUUGCGACAAGACGCGCCUUGUACUUGACAAUGGCGCCGUUCUCGUCACGCUUGACUUUGUAGACCCACUUCAAGCCGAUGGCCCGAUGUCCGUGUGGAAGCUCGACCAGCGACCAAGUGUGGUUGUCGCAGAUCGACUUCAUCUCCUCCUCCAUUGCGGCAACCCAGUUAGGAUCGCCGUCGGCCUCCUUCAGCGAGCGGGGCUCCUCCACGCUCACAGCAUGGCUAACUGCGUGGAGCUCGGCCUCGGCGGUGUCUCGGUGUGCCAGCCCCGGUACUGCAUCUGUACCGAGGACGUUGUCCAGCGUGCGGUACCGAUGUGGCUCCCCCUCAUCAUAGGCGUCGAGGUUGGAGUCGUUGGCGAGCGGCGUCGCGAACUCAAUCUGAGUUCGUAUGUCCUGCGUCGAUGCAGACGGGGUCGAAGGAGAUGGCGAAGCCCGCGUCGCGCUUGGAGCAGGGGAUGACGCCGAGGUCAUGCUCGGGGCUAGGGAAGAAGCCGUGGGGGUAGUGGACGCAGGCUGCAACCGCGUCACGGGUGCUGCAAUCGGCUGCAUCUGCACCUCGUGGUCUUCUUCGAUGGAGAAGGGCAGACGGUCAUCAGCGCCCAGAUUUUCUUCCCAGUUCCACCGCGCAUCUUCAUCAAAGACGGCGUCGCGGGAGACGUAGACGCGUGCGGCCUCAGGAUCAAAGAACCUGUACGCCUUGGUCCCGUCCUGGUAGCCGAUGAAGACGACCUUGAUGCCUCUGUCGUCCAGUUUGGCGAGGUGUGGGCGCACUUGCUUGAUGUAGGCAACACACCCAAACACUUUGAGGAAGUGUACAGGGGUUUCUUCCCGUACCACGCCUGGUACGGGGUCUUCCCAUCGAGCGCAGCAGUGGGUGCUUGAGCAGGAAGACAGCAGUGUGCACUGCCUCCCCCCAGAAGCACCCUGGUACUCCGCGGGCUCAAAGGAUGCUCCUCGCCAUUGCCACCACGGUCUGGUUUCGCUGCUCUACAACGCCAUUCUGCUGCGGCGUAUAGGGGGCUGAAUGGUGGCGCUGAAUCCCCUCUCCUGCACAGUACUCCCCAAAUUCAACUGAGGUGAACUCACCGCCGUUGUCAGUCCGGAGUACCUUCAGUUUCUUGCCCGUCUCGCGCUCAACACGCGCCUGAAACGUCUGGAUGGCUGCUGGGGCAUCCGCCUUGGAACGCAGGAGGGUGAGCCACAUGAAGCGGCUCAUGUCGUCGACGAGUAGAAGGAAGUAGACGUUCCCAGCCGGUGUUGCCGGCGUGAUGGGGCCGCAGAGAUCUCCAUGGACCAGCUCGAGCUCCUCCUGAGCCCUGAACUUUGCGGCCUUGGGGAACGGAGUCCGCUUCUGUUUCGCCAGGACGCAGUCUUCACAGACCUGCUCAACAUGGUCUAUGGUGGGCAGUCCACGCACCAUGUCGGCGCGUCCCAGUUUGCGCAGCGCCUUGAAGUUGAGGUGACCGUAGCGUUCGUGCCAUCGCCACGCCAUGUCGCCAACCCGUGCUGUGAGGCACACAGGGGCAGUCACCUUCAUGUCGAGGAAGUACAGUCGACUUGGCGAUCGAUGCACCUUCGCCAGCAGCUGCCGGUCCGGGUCGAAGAGACGGAGUAUGCCCGACUCGAUGUCGACCUUGAACCCAGUCUCGUCCAUCUGGCCGAGACUGAUGAUGUUGGUGGUGAGGCGAGGGAUGUAGUAGACGCCGUCCAGCUGACGAUGUUCACCAGUCCUGCAGACGAACAGUACCGUCCCCUUGCCGUGGAUGUUCACCACCGAGCCGUCUCCGAACUUGACUGUUCCAGAGAUGCUGGUGUCGAGCUCGGCGAAGACAUUGCGGGCGCCCGUCAUGUGGUUGGUUGCGCCAGUGUCGAGCACCCACCGAUGGGGUUGCACGGCCUCCUCCUGUUCCUCGCUGAGGUGAAGGAGGACCUUGGGUUCAGUGAUGUGAACCCGUGUCUCCGACUCCGGGGCUGCUGGCGUCAAUGGAGGCCUGUGAGGACAACACGCCACGGGCGAUGCAAUUACCUCUGGAUCCGCCGUGAUGUACAUCAGCGCGUGCUCUUCUUCCUCGGCUUGUGCGACGUGCGCCGCGCCCUUCUUCUUGCUGCGGCACUCAUUGGUCCAGUGACCAGUUUUGCCGCAGGACUGGCAGUGGUAGCCGGGGGGCGGCUUCUUGCCGCCAGGUUUGGCCGCCUGCGCGUUCUGGCCAUCACGGCCAUCACGCGACGAAGUGCCUGAGCACCGCGUCCGCGUCCGCGCCCACGCUGCUUGCCGCGGGCGCCAGAACCCGAUCCGCCGGAGUUCUCCUGCUCACGGCGUGACUUGUGGCGCGCCUCCCAGUGCUCUUCACAGAGCAUCAGCCGGCCCAGCGAGUCCGUCACUUCCUUCGGCUUGAGUCGCUCCUCGAACACCCUCAGCCGCCCGAUCACCUCCUCGAUUGAGACCCUGUUGAGGUCGAGGAACAUCUCGAGGGAGACGGCGGCCUGCGUGAGCUUCUCUGGAACAACCUGCAGGAGCUUUUUGACUACCUCUGCAUCCUGGAUGUUGUCGCCGAGGGAGCGCAGGUUGGCAGCGAGUGUGGAGAUGCGGACGCCGAAGUCGCUGACGGUUUCGCCCUCCUUGAAGGAGAGAGCGCCGAACUCCCGGCGGAGCUGCUGCGCGCUGGCGUCGCGCGCGCGCUCAUCGCCGAUCCGUAGAUGCUUGACUGCAUCCCAGGCCUGCUUCACCGUGUCCUUCCUGGCCAGCGUGUUCCAGAGCUCGGACGGCACCGAGCGUAGGAGACCGGCUAUCGCCUGGCGGUCGUCAUGGUACUCAUCGUCGUCGGCGUCGUCGGAGAGGCCGUCUUGGACGACGUCCCAUACUCGCAGCGUCUGGAAGUUUACUUCCAUGACCAGUGCCCACUCCGGGUAAUUCGUCCGGGUUAGCAUCGGCCAUGCAACAUGUGCAGACGAGCGCUCGACGAUUCGCUCGACAACUCUGGAGCCGGAGCGACGACGACUGUCGGAGCGCCCACAGCGACGUCGCGGCGAGCGCGACGGACGGACCUUGUUCUCGUCGUUGCUGCCUUCGGGCUUCUCGGUCUUGGCCGGAGACUUAGAAGACAUGGCUAACUACGAGAUCAGGCUCUGGUACCAAAUGUUAGAGCACCGAUCAACACAUACACAGAGGAAGACACAGGUAUUGUGGGCUGCAAUGAGGCAGCUAUUCCUCUGAAUAUAGUUCACUAUAUAUAGCUGAUUACAUAGCUAUCUAAGGCAAUAAGCCAAUCACUAAACUAGGCAACAAUAUAAAAGGCAAGAGCCUAUAAGGCAUGCUCGUGAUUGGGGGUUGCCAUCCCAACUCCCUGGGCCAUGCCGUUAGCACUAGCAGUAGAAUAGGAAGGUACAAAACAGGAAAGUACAGCUCACGGCUUACUAUUAACAU